UAGCUGGUCUGAGAGGACGAUCAGCCACACUGGAACUGAGAGACGGUCCAGACUCCUACGGGAGGCAGCAGUGGGGAAUUUUGGACAAUGGGCGCAAGCCUGAUCCAGCCAUUCCGCGUGCAGGAUGAAGGCCUUCGGGUUGUAAACUGCUUUUGUACGGAACGAAAAGGCUCUGGCUAAUACCUGGGGCUCAUGACGGUACCGUAAGAAUAAGCACCGGCUAACUACGUGCCAGCAGCCGCGGUAAUACGUAGGGUGCAAGCGUUAAUCGGAAUUACUGGGC
rnacentral:rRNA from 1 species